UGCGUAGGGUGCGAGCGUUGUCCGGAAUUAUUGGGCGUAAAGGGCUCGUAGGCGGUUUGUCGCGUCGGGAGUGAAAACCAGGUGCUUAACACCUGGCUUGCUUUCGAUACGGGCAGACUAGAGGUAUUCAGGGGAGAACGGAAUUCCUGGUGUAGCGGUGAAAUGCGCAGAUAUCAGGAGGAACACCGGUGGCGAAGGCGGUUCUCUGGGAAUGACCUGACGCUGAGGAGCGAAAGUGUGGGGAGCGAACAGG
rnacentral:rRNA from 1 species